rnacentral:rRNA from 1 species
GUGCCAGCAGCCGCGGUAAUACGGAGGGUGCAAGCGUUGUCCGGAAUUAUUGGGCGUAAAGAGCUCGUAGGCGGUUUGUCGCGUCUGCUGUGAAAGCCCGGGGCUUAACACCGGGUGUGCAGUGGGUACGGGCAGACUUGAGUGCAGUAGGGGAGACUGGAACUCCUGGUGUAGCGGUGAAAUGCGCAGAUAUCAGGAAGAACACCGAUGGCGAAGGCAGGUCUCUGGGCUGUUACUGACGCUGAGGAGCGAAAGCAUGGGGAGCGAACAGGAUUAGAUACCCGAGUAGUCC